GGGCAAUGAGAGUUAAGUUCGAAUGAGUCACUUUAGCCAAAAGAAUACCCUCACCUAGCCUGAAGCCUUAUUACAAGCCUAGAAAAGACCUGUUUGACCCUAGCGAAUCAACUUUGAGGGUGUGUUAAAUGGCAAAGGCAAGUCUAUAGGUACCUGCACUGUGCUUGUAACUUCUUUGAUGAGCGUGAGAGUUUAGAUUGUGUCCACAUAG
rnacentral:lncRNA from 1 species